rnacentral:rRNA from 1 species
UACGUAGGUGGCAAGCGUUGUCCGGAAUUAUUGGGCGUAAAGCGCGCGCAGGCGGUCCUUUAAGUCUGAUGUGAAAGCCCACGGCUCAACCGUGGAGGGUCAUUGGAAACUGGGGGACUUGAGUACAGAAGAGAAGAGUGGAAUUCCACGUGUAGCGGUGAAAUGCGUAGAUAUCUGGGGGAACACCCGUGGCGAAGGCGGCUCUCUGGUCCGAAACUGACGCUGAGGUGCGAAAGCUAGGGUAGCAAACAGG